rnacentral:lncRNA from 1 species
UUGAAUAAAAGAAUAUGACAUUAUUCAGUGAUAAUAUUCCAUUUGGUUUUGGAAAGUAAAUUAUAAACCUAUAGAAAAAUAUUUUUAGAAAUAAUGCAACAAUUGGCAUAUUUUCUAUGGAGCACAGUGUGAACCCCCUCAGGAUUUACACAUUUCCAGUAUUUCUGCCUAUAUAUAUAUUUUUUUUUCAGGUAUCUCCUGUGGGAAAGGAAAGGGAACUUUAACCUCAUGAUUUCAUUUGGGUUUUAAAUUGUUGUUUACUUUGUAUAACCUCUUGCUGAAAUAGCAAGUGGCCAGCAAAACAUCCAUCAGGUGAACGUUACGGCCCCAUUAAAAUCAGAGAACUGAUCCCACCUUUAUGACUCCACAACUGGCAGUAAUUUAGUAUUUAACUCCAGUGCUGUCCAUCUGCUGGUUAAUGACACGGCAUCUGCUGCAGUGCUCCUCGUUCACCCGGCACGGCUGUGAUAGGACUGUGGGGAGAGGGGUGUUCAUUUAAUCAUUGCACACAGCAGUUCACUCCCAUCUGCCUCCGCUGGGCAUACAGGCACACUUUACAUUGGCGCUGCUCAUCAGUGGAUGACUGUUAAAGAAGUUACGUGCCAGUAAACCUUGUUGAAAAAUCUCAUCGGGUAUGUUAAAGACGGGCACUACAGUCAUUUUCCUAAGUGAUCAAACGCUUGGUGGAUGAUCAGGCACAUUAAUUAUCCACGUUCCCUGCCAAGCGAGCUUCUGGUGCAUUCCCACGCUCCUCACAGCGCACAAACAAAUCGAGGGACGCCUGAGACAGUUCGUGGCAGCCAGAUAAGCGAUCACCUAAGCUAUCCUGGAGAGCUUCAAGUUGCUAAAGCGCUUUUUAUAACAGCGCGUGAGGUGCCGCCGUGGCACUGCCUGCGCUGAGGCAGGAUGAGGCACGGCUCCGGCCGGGCGCUGGGGGCAGGCGGCGGGGCACUCACCGCCUGCGGAGAAAGGAGAUGUUAUUAUUACACCCCGACGCUCACCGCAGCCUCAGCCCGAGCCCCGGGCCGUGCCUACCUGCAGAAGCCGCCACCUGUGGGAGAAGCGGCGAAAAGCGAAAGCCC